AUAUCAAUAAGCGGAGGAAAAGAAACCAACAGGGAUUGCCCUAGUAACGGCGAGUGAAGCGGCAACAGCUCAAAUUUGAAAUCUGGCUCUUUCAGAGUCCGAGUUGUAAUUUGCAGAGGGCGCUUUGGCUUUGGCAGCGGUCCAAGUUCCUUGGAACAGGACGUCACAGAGGGUGAGAAUCCCGUACGUGGUCGCUAGCUAUUGCCGUGUAAAGCCCCUUCGACGAGUCGAGUUGUUUGGGAAUGCAGCUCUAAAUGGGAGGUAAAUUUCUUCUAAAGCUAAAUAUUGGCCAGAGACCGAUAGCGCACAAGUAGAGUGAUCGAAAGAUGAAAAGCACUUUGGAAAGAGAGUCAAACAGCACGUGAAAUUGUUGAAAGGGAAGCGCUUGCAGCCAGACUUGCUUGCAGUUGCUCAUCCGGGCUUUUGCCCGGUGCACUCUUCUGCAGGCAGGCCAGCAUCAGUUUGGGCGGUGGGAUAAAGGUCUCUGUCACGUACCUCUCUUCGGGGAGGCCUUAUAGGGGAGACGACAUACCACCAGCCUGGACUGAGGUCCGCGCAUCUGCUAGGAUGCUGGCGUAAUGGCUGUAAGCGGCCCGUCUUGAAACACGGACCAAGGAGUCUAACAUCUAUGCGAGUGUUUGGGUGUCAAGCCCGAGCGCGUAAUGAAAGUGAACGGAGGUGGGAACCCGCAAGGGCGCACCAUCGACCGAUCCUGAAGUUUACGGAAGGAUUUGAGUAAGAGCAUGGCUGUUGGGACCCGAAAGAUGGUGAACUAUGCUUGAAUAGGGUGAAGCCAGAGGAAACUCUGGUGGAGGCUCGCAGCGGUUCUGACGUGCAAAUCGAUCGUCAAAUUUGGGCAUAGGGCGA
rnacentral:sRNA from 1 species